CCAGAGGCCUGCUCGAAGGGGCUCCUCAUCAUUUUGCUUAGUUCCCUGUUUUUUGCCAAGUGUUCCCAGAAUUUGCACGUCACACCCGGUGGCUCCAUUCAAUCUUGACCACAGCCUGCUAUCUGGAGCUGAUUCAUAUAUUUACUCCCUUCCUUAACGCCAGACCGGGGGAAAGACCGUGGAUGAGGAAACCCUAGAAGAAAAUGGAAAGGAGCUGCCCACAGCAAGUUUAGCUUGAGAAGAACCAUCUCUGCUCCCUCCUUCCUACCAGGAAAGAACGAAGUUCUGCCUGGACCUACACACACCCACAGAACAGGAGAAGGAAACUGCAUUGGAAAUGUACGAAGUUCCAAACGAAGUAAAUUUGUCUCCUGGCCUCUCCCCUCAAUUCAUUUCUGAAAUCAUACCAAAUGCUUUUACCUAAUUCGACAUGGCCCUAACUUACAAGCAAGGGUGGUGGUGGCACCCCUGAAAUCAAAUAUUCAUACCCUAAUCUGAAAUGCACACUUCAUCCCCUCACCUGAACACUUUUUUUCCACUCUAGUAAGUAACCUAUGGAAUCCUAGAUGCUCUCCUAUGAGGCAACAACCCCUGGUAAUGGAAAGCCACAACUGUUAACACUGUUCUUUACUCUUCUUCACUCAUUUUCCUGAG